GAUUUCUCUCGGCCCAGCCUGAAAUUUGCUAAACCUGAUACGUGUUCGAAACCAAGGUGAGCAAAUAUUCAGGUGUGUCGACGAGCGGUCACAUUCGUCG
rnacentral:ncRNA from 2 species